rnacentral:sRNA from 1 species
ACAUUUUCUCGGCCCUGCCAGCCCCCAGGAGGAAGAGUGGAAAGGACAAGGAUGCCGUGGAUAAAUUGCUCAAGGACCUGGACGCCAAUGGAGAUGCCCAGGUGGAUUUCAGCGAGUUCAUCGUGUUCGUGGCUGCAAUCACGUCCGCCUGUCACAAGUACUUUGAGAAGGCAGGACUCAAAUGAUGCCCUGGAGAUGUAGAUUCCUGGCAGAGCCAUGCUCCCAGGCUUCCCAAAAGCGUUUGUUGGCAAUUAUUCUCCUAGGCUGAGCCUGCUCAUGUACCUCUGAUUAAUAAAUGCUCAUGAAAUGA